AUAUCCAGAAUCUGAACUGAUCAGUCGACGCAGAUGGCGCCACAGCCAAGUCCUUGCCGACCAAUUCUGGAAGCGCUUCCUCAGGUUCUGCCUUCCCAGCCUUCAAACCCGCCAGAAGUGGCAAGAUGAGAAAUCUGAUCUCCAGGUUGGCACCAUUGUCCUGAUCGUCGACCCCCAGCUGCCCAGGGCACUCUGGCCAGUGGGCCAGGUGUUGAAAGUAUUCCCUGGACUAGACAGCAGAGUAAGAACAGCUGAAAUUAAGGUGGGAAAGAAACUGUACACAUGCCCAGUCGCACACCUCAUCCGAUUGCCUGCCAUACCAGAUUAAAGCUACUUUAAAUGGUAUAGUUUAUAGGCCUUUUUUUUACUGUACAUAUUUCCUUCUGGAAAUCUGGAGGCGGCUGUAAAAAAGGCCACACUCAGGUUAUAUUCACGUGCCUUAGUUCCCCUUGCAAUACACUGAAGUUGACUCACACGCAGCAUCCAUCCAGCGAGCCAAUCAGCGCUCUGUACAGGACGUGCAGAUCAGCGGUCCCGCCCACUGAGCUGAGUCAUAUUGAUCGGGAAAGCGGACUGAUGCUAGCUUGUACUGUAGCGAUUUAUACCUUGCUAAAGUUGUGUGCGUGCAUAUAAAGUGAGUAACAGUCUGUUCAUAUAUUGUUUUCUACAUUGUUUGUGAAUGUUGAACUGUCCCGAGUGUUUAUAAGUUUAUGUAUGUGAGUGACAAAGAUGAACUAGCGUGUAAAGGUGUUCAUAUAUAUAUAUAUAUUUGCAUACUAGUUACCUCACAUAUAUCACUAUUAUGUUUAUAAGACAAAUUAUAUGUGCCAUUUGAUCAUUAUAUGGUGUAUUUAAUAUAUAUAUUCAAUUUAUAUCGCUCAAUUCUGAGAGUUAGAGCACUCUUUUGGUGCAUACGCACUAAUAAUUUAGACAGAGCGGCUCCAUCUUUGUCCUCAGCGCUGAGAGGUGUCGAAUUUCAACUGCUUGAUAUUAGUCAUUUCUAGUAGCGCAUCUUUCCAUAUAAUGGCACAUUUGUUUUUCUAUUUGAUUGUUUAAUUACUGUAUUUAGUGUAUUCUUUGUGCAGAAAUUGUACUGUUAUUAUAUUUAUUAUGACCACUGUCAUUUGUUAUUUGUACUUACAUAUUUUUCUUAUAUCUUUAUCUUGUAGAAAAACCACACACACAUACAUGCAAACCAGCCAAUAAAUGUGGUGACAAUAAAUGGGUUAUUCCCGCAUACCUGAACAUCUGUCAGAAAGUCUCUUACCGGACGCUCCGUAGUGGAUUUGUUAUCAACCGGCAAAUUCACAUAAACCAAUAAAGCUACCAGUAGCCACUCAGUUUUACACACUCAAUACUUUAUUUUUCCUUUGCAAUUCUUUAUUUUUGUUUGCAAAAAAAUUUUUUAUUGCUCAAUUCUUUUUUGUGUUUUGCAAAACUUUAUUUUUGUGCAAAACUUUAAGGCAUUAAUUUGACUCCAUAGGACCGUCCCAAGAAUCAGUGCAGUCUCAGAGGUCUCAUGUUUUUUGUCCCCAAAAUGCUAUUUUGUAGUCUGGGUAAACCCAACCUGAUCUGCCGGCGAUUUGAUUUCGCUCGGCAACUCAGUGUGGAAACCCGUGCAUUCAUUUCUGCUGCGCUGUUACACUUUUGCGGGAACCAAUCACAGACUGGCUUAUCCACUGUUGAGUUAUGUUCUCAUCAUUUAUGUUAUAUUAUGUUGCUUACUAUUAUUAUUAUUAUUUUUCCUUUUAUGUUAGAUUAUGAUACUGACUGUUGUAUACCCAAAAAUGUGCAAGAGUUCAUUGUGCGCAUGUGUGAACAGACGGGACUUUUAUUUUGACUUGAGUAAAGUGGAUGUAAAAAGAAAACUUUUCACAUUGAAAAGAGAAAUGAAACCUUAACAGCUUAUGGGCCCAGGCGUGCCAAUGCUAACGUUACAGGAGGAAGAUGGCAGAGGCUAGUCUUUGACGGAGACGAAAAUAACUACGAACUAUGGGAAGUAAAAUUUCUUGGUCAUCUGAGACUACUGGGUUUAAAAGAAACAAUACUGUCUACCGGGGAUAUAGACGAGGAAAAGAAUGAGGAGUGCUACGCUGAACUAAUCCAGUUUCUCGACGAUAAAAGCUUGUCACUGGUGAUGCGAGAGGCGACUGAUGACGGCAGGAAAGCUCUGGAAAUACUUCGAAGUCACUACGCCAGUCAGGGUAAGCCGAGAAUUAUCGCCCUAUACACUGAACUAACUUCGUUAAAGAAGGAAUCUAACGAGACUAUAACAGACUACAUUAUCCGAGCUGAGAAAGCGGUAACUUCCCUAAGAAACACAAAAGAAGUAAUAAGUGACGGACUGAUAAUAGCUAUGAUCCUAAAGGGCCUGCCAGAUUCCUACAAACCUUUCGCUAUCCAUACUACACAGAGUAGUGAAGAAUUGACUUUCACCCAGUUCAAAAGCAAACUAAGAAGCUAUGAAGAGACAGAAAAAUUUGAUGAUAAAUCCAAAACUGACAAUGUGAUGAAAGUAAACAUAGCAUCCGUGACCUGCUAUGGAUGUGGAAACCGCGGUCAUGUUGCACGUGAUUGCCGCCAAAAAGGCGUACCCAAGUGGUGCAGCUACCAUAGAAGUUCAACACACAGUGAUGAGACAUGUCGCCGGAGAAAAGACGGGCACAAAGACGAAGCGAAACAGGCUGCAGAAAAACAAGAGGAGCAUGAGAAAGAACAAACAUUUGUUUUCAAAGUCAGUCAAACAUUUCUUCCAGACAAUAUUACGAAAAAUGGACUAAUGGUAGACUGUGGAGCAACAUCCCACAUCUUAACAGAGAAGAAUGAUUUCACGAAAUUUGAUGAGAGUUUCGACCCAAAGUCACACUACAUGGAACUGGCGGAUGGAGCCAGGAUGAACAACGUGGCAUUAAAGCGGGGCGACGCAGAGGUGUUACUGCUGGAUGUGGAAGGGAAAUGCGUCAGGAUCACUCUAAAGAAGGCCUUGUUCAUACCAUCAUAUCCACAGAGCAUCAUCUCCGUUCAAGCUGCUACAACAGAUGGUGCCAAGGUGGUCUUCCAGGAAGGACAGAAUGAACUGAUAAGCAAGGAUGGAGCUGUGUUCCGCAUAGAAGAGCAUGAGAGACUGUACUAUCUGAAAAUGGUAAAUAACAACAAACACUGUGUUGAUACAUCAGUUACUGAUAUGAUGUCCAGGGACAAAGUGAGUCUAACUUGUGAUGUUAAAACAUGGCAUGAGAUCAUGGGACAUUGUAAUGUUAGCGAUGUGUUGAAAUUACCUGAAGUGGUAGAGGGUAUGAAAAUCACAGGUAAUACCAAACUAGACUGUAACGUUUGUACUGAGGGGAAGUUCAUCAACAGCAGAAAUAGGAAAACUGACACAAAAGCUGGUGAGGCCCUAGAGUUAGUACACACUGACUUAGCAGGUCCCAUUGAACCAACUUCUCAGGAUGGAUAUAAGUAUGCAAUUUUAUUCACAGAUGAUUUUUCAGGGGCAAUAUUUGUUUACUUCCUUAAGAACAAGAGUGACGCUACUCUAGCGACAGAGAAGUUUCUUGCAGACUGUGCACCAUACGGUAGAGUGAAAUGCAUAAGAUCAGACAAUGGUACAGAAUACACAGGCAAUGCAUUUCAGUCACUUUUACGAGAAAAGGGUAUAAGACAUGAUACAUCAUCCCCAUACUCUCCUCAUCAAAAUGGUACAGCUGAGAGACAAUGGCGAACCAUUUUUGAAAUGGGAAGGUGUCUACUAAUGGAGAAGGGAUUACCAAAGGUUCUGUGGCCUUAUGCUGUCCAAACUGCUACUCAUAUCCGAAACAGAUGCUAUAAUGACAGAAUUAAGAAUACUCCACAUUUCAUGUUGACAGGAAGAAAGCCAGACCUUUCUAAAAUGUGGGUUUUUGGAUCAGAAUGCUAUGCGUACAAACACAAUCAAAAGAAAUUGGACCCUAGAUGUGAGAAGGGAAUAUUUGUGGGGUAUAGUAAAAAUAGCCCAGCUUAUCUGGUACACAGCAAAUUCAUCAGUGUUAAAUUUCAAGUGUUAAGCCAAUUUAGAGUAAAGUGUUGAAGUUAUAGUGUAAAAUUUAGAGAAAUUAACACUAUCAGUGUGUUAAAAGCUUGUUUGCUUCAGUGUUAUCACAGAGUUACAGGUAUCCAACACCCCCUGGUGUUAUUUGCAACAUCCGGGCAUUUAUUCAGCGAUCUCGCUGAAAGAUUUUUCCAGACGCCAUUUUCUCGUGCCAUGCGGAGGAUGAGAGACGACAACUGGAACCAACCGGAUCAUGAGACACUACUUUUAAAAUUUUCUUCUUCAGUGCAUUUGUUAAACAGGGUAGAAAGAUAUUGCUGUCAUCCUUAGAAGUUGACUGGUGAUCACCCAUCUACAAUCCUUCCUGAUGAAUCACACACCAUCCUCAGAGUGUUUCCAAGGCUGCUGGACACUAAAGAUCUGAUAGCUCAAGGUUUUAGACUCCUCUUUGGUCCACAAACAGCUUUCAAACUGCUGGAGAAGUGGCCUACAUUCUAUAAGGAAAAGGUGAUCAGAGAAGCAGAGAACCUUGACCUUACUACCACCUCAGUGCUCCAGAGUUUGCUGAAGUCUGCCAGGAAUCAGUAUCAUGAUGAAUCUUCAGAAGAUCACCCAG